UUCCUCUUGAGCCACCAGGUAGUCUUGAGGUCUCCAUCAGGAUGAUUCCUACGGACUGCCCCAGGGAUGCUCCUAUUUGCUCAAGUUGGUGUCCUCCAACACCCUCAUUCCCAUCUCCGCCUUCUCUGAACUCCAGGACGCAUUCCUCAGCCUUUGCUGAGAACCUCUGAAUCCGUUCUCAGCCACAUCAGACAACCGAGCUGACUGGCUCGCCCAAGCUACUGCUUUCUUCAGCAAAGACUAGGCGUUCUGAUCGGAUUCGGAAAAAAAAAAAAAAAUGCUUUUGACCUAACAGAACAAAUCGAGCUCUCGAGCUGGGAACAUUUCGGAACUCCGAGUGCCAACUUCCGAAGAUGCCCCGGCUAUGACUACAUUUCCCAGAAGCCUUCGGGUACGAACUACGUUUCCCAGAAGUCUCCGGAGCGCAGCGCUUUUGGGCACUGGGCGAGUUUGCAGGCGGAGGGCGUUUUCUAGGACCAGGUUCCCGGCUAUGCAGUAUUUUCCCCCGCUCUCGUUUCCCAUUAGCCUCCGUAUCCACACACACGUCGGACUCUGGGGUCCUUUUCCACUGCCCUCGAGUUCUUGGACGAGAGAUCUGGCUUUUCUGGAUUUUGUGCUUCAUCAAUAGAGGAGCCCCAAGGAGCAUUAAUUUGUUCUUGCAAGUCUAGAACCAUGACAGAUGUAAGUUGAUUUUCUUCUUUGAAAUAUUCUGACUUUUAGGUCAUGUGAAUCUUUUCCUGAAUCAUCCUAAAGCUUUCUACAUAACAGAACUCCUUUCCUGAACCCACUUCUUAGUUCUUCCUCUUCUGAUGAAGGACGGUCCCAAAAAGGAUGGUGUCCUCCCUGAGGACAAUUCCAAUCAGGGUCCUAUUCACUGAACCUGUUAUUCAACAUCUCCUGUGUGCCUAGGCUUCUAUAAAGCAGUGAUAGGUAGAAAAGUGAAGGGAUGGAGUCUUGUAUUUUUUAUUUUUUGAGAAGGAUCUGACUGUGUAGUCCAGGCUGGCCUUGAACCCACUGUGUAGCCCAGGUUGGCCUCGAACUUAUGGUGAUCCUCCUGCCUCAGCCUCCCUAGUGCUGGGAUUACAGGCCACGCCACCACGCCCAGCAGGAAUAGAGUCUUAUAAGGGAAAUAAUUAAGCAUCUACCAAAGAGUGAUUCAAAGAAAUAUAGUUAAGAAUUAGCACACUUUUACUUGAAUACAAACAAAAAAAAAAACCUAACAGUGGAUUUAUUUCAUUGAAGACACUAAUGGGAUUCACAUCAGAGGAAGAAAGAGAAGAGCAUGAAAGAGCACACAUUUUUUUUUUUUUGGUCUUUUUGAGACAGGGUCUCACUGUGCAGUUCAGGCUGGCCUUGAGCUCACUUUGUAGCCCAGGAUGGUCUCGAACUCACAAUGAUCCUCCUGCCUCAGCCUCUUGAGUGCUGGGAUUAUAGGCGUGCGCCACCACGCCUAGUUGAGAGCACACAUUUUGAAAACCGUAGUUUUCCUUCUUCAUGGUAAGAUGCUGCCUAGUGGUCAGCCUGGAAAGAAGCCAGCCAGGAUACUCUGUCCUUAAACAGCUUCAUGCUCACCCUGAAGAACCGUUUCCAUGGUAUGCACUCUCUGGAAGAGCAUCGGUGUUUAACUAUGGCGUUGUCAAGGAUAGUCACUUUAGUUAGCAGUUCCAUCUGCAUUUGGCCAGGUCCGAACCACUUCUCUUACCUGAGUUUCUCAUCCCUUUGUCAAGCUUAUAGUAGGAUGAGUCAGUGAUGAGGGUCCCAGUAGAUCACCGGGUACGCUCGGAACUUCUCCCCUGCCCUGAGUUUUCCAGCGGUUAGGUAGAAUUUGGAUUGGUUGGUUUUAACCUCAAUUUAUGUGACAGUACAUGCUUUAGGAGGCUGUUGGGAUAGAGAGGAGUGUCAGUGGUCCUUUCUAGGGAUUCCCUGAUAAAUAAACAUCACUGUCAGUGUCCUUUUUGUCUUUUAGGACGUGCCAGUCUUGGGCGGCAUCUGUGUCAUAUGCGACCUCCUCUGACUCAGGGACGAGGGAGGUGUUAGGUGAGAGGUGCUUGGUGGUAGCAAGUAAGAAGGUAACCCAGAUGCCUCCAUGAUCCCAGAUUCCCAGAAUGAAAAUUUUUGAAAUUUUGUUCCACCUAAAUGCAUAACCGUAAUAAGGUGACUGAACUAAAAUAUAUUCUGGGGUAUUAACUAAAUUGCAGCUAAUAAUAAAUAUUUUAUUUAUCAUAAUAAGAUACAAUGUUUAUGUUAUAAUCUAACAAUGAUUUACAUGCACUUUAAUAAUAAUUCUUAAUUUAAUGGAAAUACAUUUUCUAAAAUAGAGAUUUUUAAAGCACAUUUGGAAAACUGGCUUUUCCUAUUUCUUAAAAAGAAAAGAUAAGCAUUCACAUUUAUAUAAAAUUUGUGAAGCAAGCACAGAACAGUUAUAUGCCUGUACACACAUAAUUUUUACUUAAUAGAGGAGAAGCUAGGAUUAUUUUAUACAUUACCAGAUAGGUGUGGAUAGCUGAGCCAUCCAUGUCUAGCACCUGUUGGCACUCUUUUUCGAUUGCACUAAUUUUGUAACUUUUCCCUGCCUGAACCCCAGGCUUCCAGCCUACUUGUUAUAUUUUUGUUUUUGUUGUAGUUUGUCCUUCAUACCCUAUUAAUCCUCUUGGAAACAUACUCUUCCAUUUCGUAAGUAAUGGAUAGGUUUCUGGUUUUAGGAAUUGGUGACGUUCAAGGAUGUGGCCAUCAACUUCUCUCCAGAGGAGUAGGAAUGCUUGGAGCCUGCCCAGAGGGACUUGUAUGUGGAUGUGAUGUUGGAGAACUACAGCAACUUGUUGUCACUGGGUAAGGUCACCUGCCUGCAACUUAUAGCAGACCUCCUUUCAGUAACCUCAGCUCUGCACAUGGGAAGUUGCAGGGCUACCUUUGAAGAAAUUUCUCCUCCUUCUCAUAAAGUUGUUAUGCUUCGUGGGGUUAGAAGUGGGGUCACUGAGCCAAGCAUAGUAGCACAGGCCUAUAAUCCCAGAACUGGAGAGGCUGAGGCAGGAAGAUCACUGUGAGUUCAAGGCCAGCCUGGACUAUAUAGACAUAACAAAGCAAAGAGAAUAAAACAAAGCAAAGCAAAACAAAACAAAACAAAAACCCACCAAAAGCAAACGAGAAAUGAGCUCCUUGAGCAUCUUGAUUUUCUCCAUACCUCAGGGACCUUCUCCCUUUCUCUGGUCCUUCUGCUGCUGCCUCUUUAAUGACCAACAUGUCAUAUUUGCACUGUAGGGUGUGUAUUCCUAACCUCUGUCAAAGAAACAGAGUCACAUGCUGUGUUCCCUUCAGACUUUCUACACCCUCGCUACUCAUAGUGUGGCUCUUUUGUCUGAGAAGUCAUCAGACAAAAAUCAGUGAAGGAGAAAGCACCAGGAAAUAGGGAGGGCGAAGGGCCAGAAGACAGACAGUGUCGCUGGUUUUGGGAAGGAAUAUACAUUGUUUU
ensembl:lincRNA